ACUGUUUUACCCAUGUAUGUCUUUAAGGUAUAAGUAUAGGGUGAAAUUUGUCUAACUCAAUCUUAUCUAAUUCUCAGAUGAGUUUCCUGCUUUCAAUUACCAGCAACUUAAGGGGAGAAGAUCUGGGUAAACGUUACCCUCCUUUUAAUACAGAAACCAGAGUUGGCAUAAAUGUUCAAGUGAAAAUCCACCUGAAUAUUCCAGCAAAAUACAAGCUGUAUUCCAGGGUUAAGUACAAAAAGAUCCUUUCUGUAAACAAAAGGAGUUGUCUUCUGAAAAUAACCUAACAUAAUAUGAAACAAGUUUGCUUUCUGCUGCAUACAGGUGUCUGAAACAAGAUCCAACAAAGGUUAAAGCCACUUAAUAUUGAGUCCAAAUUCAGUCAAACUUUUGUUAACUUUUUCUAGUAAAACAGUUCAAAUUCUGGGCAUAUGGCACAUUCAAAAAUAAUAUGUUUUCAGCACUUAAAUUACUUGGAUGGUAAAGGAAGAUAAUAGUUUUUUGUUGUUCUGAUUUGACGAUCAUAGUGCUUUUUCAAUACCUGCCUUAAAUCACUAGAAUGUAUUUCUUUUUUUAAAAGAUAAACUGCAAUAUAGUCCUGUAUUUUGUCAAUAUGCAACUUGUUCAUUUCCCAAUAUUUCCAAUUUGAGAUUAUUACAGAUAGAAAUAUAACCCUUUGAAAUGCACUGUCCUGGGCUUAAGUUUUAAAAAUCCACAUCCUUGGAAGAAGGGGGUUCAUGUUUAUAUUUUAGUGGACUGACUCAUCUGCUUUGUACUGAUUUAUUCUCUUUAAGGAGAAUUUGGAAGAAAUUCAGUAAAGCUGAUUGGAAAAUGCAUAGUUAAUCUCAUGUUUUCACCAUACAGACAAUUUAAUAUCUCCUUCCAAGUGAUGUAGAUUUACUUCAUGUUGUUCAUGACAGUGACAUAUAGAAGCUAAUUUUAAACUUAGUAGUGGACUCUUCCAUAUCAAGCAGAGAGAGGAAUUUUUGAAAUAUAAAAACUAGAGAACAAAAUAGCCUAAAAAUAUUGAGCUUUGGUCACAGUCCUCUCACGUAAGAGCUGACUCUUUGUACAUAGAAUUUUUUUCUUUUAACAAGUCGCAUUUGGGUGGGUGGGGGGAGAUAAAAAGGCAGUUGUAAAAUUGCUUCA
rnacentral:lncRNA from 1 species